AGGACGAACGCUGGCGGCGUGCUUAACACAUGCAAGUCGAGCGGAAAGGCCCUUCGGGGUACUCGAGCGGCGAACGGGUGAGUAACACGUGAGUAAUCUGCCCCUAGCUCUGGGAUAGCUCCGGGAAACCGGGAUUAAUACCGGAUACGACCACCUUAGACAUCUUUUGUGGUGGAAAGAAUUUCGGCUAGGGAUGAGCUCGCGGCCUAUCAGCUUGUUGGUGGGGUAACGCCUACCAAGGCGACGACGGGUAGCCGGCCUGAGAGGGCGACCGGCCACACUGGGACUGAGACACGGCCCAGACUCCUACGGGAGGCAGCAGUGGGGAAUAUUGCGCAAUGGGCGAAAGCCUGACGCAGCGACGCCGCGUGGGGGAUGAAGGCCUUCGGGUUGUAACCCCUUUCAGCAGGGACGAAGCGAAAGUGACGGUACCUGCAGAAGAAGCGCCGGCUAACUACGUGCCAGCAGCCGC
rnacentral:rRNA from 1 species